GCAUCGAUGAAGAACGCAGCGAAAUGCGAUAAGUAAUGUGAAUUGCAGAAUUCAGUGAAUCAUCGAAUCUUUGAACGCACAUUGCGCCCGCCAGAAUUCUGGCGGGCAUGCCUGUUCGAGCGUCAUUU
rnacentral:rRNA from 1 species